ACGGGUGCGGAACACGUACAGAACCUUCCUUCAAGCGGGGCAUAGCCCGGCGAAAGCCGGAUUAAUACCCCAUAGUAAAAUGGAGUGGCAUCACUUUAUUUUUAAAGAUUUAUCACUUGAAGAUGGCUGUGCGGCUGAUUAGGUAGUUGGCGGGGUAACGGCCCACCAAGCCUUCGAUCAGUAACUGGUGUGAGAGCACGACCAGUCACACGGGCACUGAGACACGGGCCCGACUCCUACGGGAGGCAGCAGUAAGGAAUAUUGGUCAAUGGACGCAAGUCUGAACCAGCCAUGCCGCGUGGAGGAUGAAGGCCCUCUGGGUUGUAAACUUCUUUUAUAUGGGACGAAAAUGGGCCUUUCUAGGUCAACUGACGGUACCAUUUGAAUAAGCACCGGCUAACUCCGUGCCAGCAGCCGCGGUAAUACGGAGGGUGCAAGCGUUAUCCGGAUUCACUGGGUUUAAAGGGUGCGUAGGUGGGUCAGUAAGUCAGUGGUGAAAUCUCUGGGCUCAACCCGGAAACUGCCAUUGAUACUAUUGGUCUUGAAUAUUGUGGAGGUUAGCGGAAUAUGUCAUGUAGCGG
rnacentral:rRNA from 1 species